rnacentral:tRNA from 5 species
GCGGACGUAGCUCAGAGGUAGAGCAUCUUCUAGCUAAGAAGAAGAUUUGAGGGUUCGAGUCCCUUCGUCCGCU